rnacentral:rRNA from 1 species
AGUGAACGCUGGCGGUAGGCCUAACACAUGCAAGUCGAACGGCAGCACAGUAAGAGCUUGCUCUUACGGGUGGCGAGUGGCGGACGGGUGAGGAAUACAUCGGAAUCUACUUUUUCGUGGGGGAUAACGUAGGGAAACUUACGCUAAUACCGCAUACGACCUACGGGUGAAAGCAGGGGAUCUUCGGACCUUGCGCGAUUGAAUGAGCCGAUGUCGGAUUAGCUAGUUGGCGGGGUAAAGGCCCACCAAGGCGACGAUCCGUAGCUGGUCUGAGAGGAUGAUCGGCCAAACGGAAACUGGGACACGGUCCGGGCACCUAGGGAAGGCAGCGGGGGGGAAAUUUGGCAAAGGGGCGCAAGCCUGAUCCAGCCAUACGCGUGGGUGAAGAAGGCCUUCGGGUUGUAAAGCCCUUUUGUUGGGAAAGAAAAGCAGCAGGUUAAUACCCCGCUGUUCUGACGGUACCCAAAGAAUAAGCACCGGCUAACUUCGUG